GAUGAACGCUGGCGGUGUGCCUAAUACAUGCAAGUCGAGCGAACAGACGAGGAGCUUACUCCUCUGACGUUAGCGGCGGACGGGUGAGUAACACGUGGAUAACCUACCUAUAAGACUGGGAUAACUUCGGGAAACCGGAGCUAAUACCGGAUAACAUGUUGAACCGCAUGGUUCAACAGUGAAAGACGGUCUUGCUGUCACUUAUAGAUGGAUCCGCGUCGCAUUAGCUAGUUGGUAAGGUAACGGCUUACCAAGGCAACGAUGCGUAGCCGACCUGAGAGGGUGAUCGGCCACACUGGAACUGAGACACGGUCCAGACUCCUACGGGAGGCAGCAGUAGGGAAUCUUCCGCAAUGGGCGAAAGCCUGACGGAGCAACGCCGCGUGAGUGAAGAAGGUCUUCGGAUCGUAAAACUCUGUUAUUAGGGAAGAACAAAUGUGUAAGUAACUAUGCACGUCUUGACGGUACCUAAGCAGAAAGCCACGGCUAACUACGU
rnacentral:rRNA from 1 species